GCAGUGCGUGGCCGAAUGGUUACGCUGUCCGCUUUGUAAGCGGAUGAUUCUGGGCUCGAUUCCCAUUUGCUGCA
rnacentral:tRNA from 1 species